rnacentral:rRNA from 1 species
AAGGAUCAUUGUCGAAACCUGCCUAGCAGAACGACCCGCGAACGCGUUGCAAACAACACCGGAGGUGGUGCGGGUGCAUCCUCGCCUCUCGCCACCCCCGUGUCUCGGAGCGGCCAGUCUCGUCGUCCCUUUGCCCGUCGGGUGGGGUGAGAUGCCGGGAUCAACCUCUUCGAGGCAAAGCGAACAAACCCCCGGCGCGAAUCGCGCCAAGGAAUCGAAACGAAAGAAGGGGCACGUCUUCUGUCGCCGCACCGUUCGCGGUGUCGAUGCUUCAGUGAUGUUGUUCUCUUGUCGCAAAAUAUACAGAACGACUCUCGGCAACGGAUAUCUCGGCUCUCGCAUCGAUGAAGAACGUAGCGAAAUGCGAUACUUGGUGUGAAUUGCAGAAUCCCGUGAACCAUCGAGUCUUUGAACGCAAGUUGCGCCCCAAGCCAUUAGGCCGAGGGCACGUCUGCCUGGGUGUCACGCAUCGUCGCCCCCAUCCAACCAUGAGCCCUCGAGCCUCGGUUGGACCGCGGGCGGAAAUUGGCCUCCCGUGCGCUCACAGCCAGCGGUUGGCCUAAAUUCGAGUCCUCGACGACAUCAUCGUCGCGACGAUCGGUGGUAAUGCUGCAAGCAACCUCGUUCGGAGUCGUGCGCGUCCGUCGAUCGAGACCCUUGAACCCUUUCGGCAUCGCAAGGACGGUGCUCGCAUCGCGACCCCAGGUCAGGCGGGAUUACCCGCUGAGUUUAA